AUUGACCGCUGGCGGCAGGCCUAACACAUGCAAGUCGAGCGAGUGGCGGACGGGUGAGUAAUGUCUGGAGAACUGCCCGAUGGCGGGGGAUAACUACUGGAAACGGUAGCUAAUACCGCAUACCAUCGGAUGUGCCCAGAUGGGAUGAGCUGGUCGGUGGGGUAACGGCUCACCUAGGCGACGAUCCCUAGCUGGUCUGAGAGGAUGACCAGCCACACUGGAACUGAGACACGGUCCAGACUCCUACGGGAGGCAGCAGUGGGGAAUAUUGCACAAUGGGCGCAAGCCUGAUGCAGCCAUGCCGCGUGUAUGAAGAAGGCCUUCGGGUUGUAAAGUACUUUCAGCGGGGAGGCGUUACUCGCAGAAGAAGCACCGGCUAACUCCGUGCCAGCAGCCGCGGUAAUUC
rnacentral:rRNA from 1 species